GCUUUUCAACUUGAGAGUUUGAUCCUGGCUCAGAACGAACGCUGGCGGCAGGCCUAACACAUGCAAGUCGAGCGCACCCUUCGGGGCGAGCGGCGGACGGGUUAGUAACGCGU
rnacentral:rRNA from 1 species